rnacentral:RNase_P_RNA from 1 species
CAAGCUGGCCAGGCGGUCGCGCCCGGCAUCUGCAGGGUGAGGAAAGUCCGGGCUCCACAGGGUACGGUGCUGGGUAACACCCAGGCAGGGUGACCUGACGGAAGAGGGCCACAGAAAAGCAAACAGCCUGGAGGCGGGUAUGACGGUUCGCCGCUCUGCUCGCCAGUCAACCAGGUGAUGGUGAAAAGGUGGUGUAAGAGACCACCGGCGCCCGCGGCGACGCGGGUGGCCAGGCAACCCCCACCGGGAGCAAGGCCAAGCAGGGACAAGGUCCGCUUCGGCGGCCGCGGGGCGGCCCGCUCCGCCACAGUCCUGGGUAGGCUGCUAGAGGCGACGGGUAACCGCCGCCCCAGAUAGAUGAUCGCUACCCCAACUCCGGUUGGGAGCACAGAACCCGGCUUAUCGGCUAGCUUGAGCG